AACAGCGUCCUCUCAGAAGAACUUCCCCACGCUGACUGCAGCAGACGUGGAGGACUUGAUCGGGCAAGCGCUGAAGUUUGCCCCACACAGACGGCCAGCUGAGAAGGACUAUAAGCCAAACCAUGGAGCUCUAUUUUUUUUUAAAAUUUUAUUUGUAUUUUUUACAUCCAUCUUGCAGCUUGU